rnacentral:lncRNA from 1 species
ACAUAUCUACAACAGUGAAAGACUUAUGGACUUAAUAUUUAUGAGGAGGUUUAGAUUUAGAUCUCAUCUAAUCAGUCAUCAUAUAACCGAUCUAAUUGGCAUGGGCUAAACCAAAACACCAAGCAACCUUAAUCAAGACUCGAUCUUUCAAAUUGACCAGAUAAGUGAAGAUCGAUGGGGGUCCCCCCGUUGCUUUUCUUAUACAUCAAUAAAUUGACC